rnacentral:lncRNA from 1 species
UUAGAUCAUAUCAUAUAUCACUAGCCUUUAAGGUUCUACUAUCCACCCGACUCGGCCUCGAGUCAAUCAUCGCGGACUACCGUGCACUAACUGCAUCUCUACUACAGCCUGGCUGCCGUCGCAGCCUACCACACCUCUUGACUUAACCAUCUGGCGGCGAACUCAUCGCAUCGAACCCAACAACGACUCAAGUCAUGACUUAGCCAUCCGGAGGCGAACUCAUCGCAUCACACCCAAC